AUCCCUCCCUCCUGGCUGAUCCCAGCCCCCUGGCUCUGGGCAGGAAGCACCUAUGCCCCCGUGGACACCCAUAUCCUCUGCCAUCCCCUUAAGGCACUUCCUGACGUUGGGCAAGCAGUUCCCUCCUCUCUGAGCCUCAGUUUCCUCAUUUGAAUGAUGGGGAUCGUCUGUCAACCUCUAUGGAUAGUUUGGAGGUUCCAGUCACCAGCUGCAGCCAAUCCCAGUGGGUCUGAAGCCUCACUUUGCUCACUGAGUGGGUCUCAGCUCACUCUCUUUGGAUGCAAGAGGAAAUGGAAGCCCAGAGAGGGGAAGUGACUCACUCAAAGCCGCACAGCAAGUGAGGGACAAAAUCAUCUGGUCACUCACUGACUUGGCAAAUAUUUCUGGAGUCUGAAGAGUGGACUAUGUCCAUCGGAGAAGAACAUUCCUAGAGAAAGCCCUGACUUGGACAAAAGUAUGGAGGAGAAGUUCUGUGGCGGUUAAGAGUAUGGGUAGCAGUCUGCUGGGACCCAAGCCCUCUCUGCCACUUGCUGUGUGACUUAGAGCAAGCGAAUCAACUACUCUGUGCCUCUGUUUCCUUACCUUUCCUCCUAUCAAGAGAUAGAGUCUGUUUCCCACUCCUUGAAUCAAGCCUCAGUCAUGUGACAUAUUUUGGCCAAUAGAAUGUGGUGGAUGUGAUGAUGUGAUUCUGUACCUGUUCUGAACCUCGGCCAUAACGGACUUGCAGUUUCCAUUUGCUAUCUUGAAAUUCUGCUGCUGCCAUGGAACAAGCCUGGGCUGGCUUGCUGGAGGAUGAGAGACCAUGUGGAGUAGAGCCAAGCUCUGGACAUUUGAGAGAGCCCUAUAAUAAUCAGCAAAACCAGCCAGAGAUGCACAAGUAAGACUGACAGAUGAGAAAAACCAGCUAACUGACCUGUAGAUG